UUUUCAAAAUUUUUAUUGUGUUAUACAACCUUUUAAUCUGUUUGAUUUGGGUCAGAUUUAUCUUUAUAGUUUUAGUUAGUAUAUUUUAUACGAUUCUUGUAACUAUAAAUUUAUUAAAAUAAAUAAUUAGCUUAGAUUCUAAAGUUAAAGUCUGUUCACUAACUCAAAUCAAACAAACUGAAAGGUCGGAUAGCAAAAUUAAUUUUUUAAAAGAUUGGA
rnacentral:lncRNA from 1 species